GGAUGUGAGGGCGAUCUGGCUGCGACAUCUGUCACCCCAUUGAUCGCCAGGGUUGAUUCAGCUGAUCUGGCUGGCUAGGCAGGCGUCCCUUUACUCCCUCACUAUUCCAUGUGCAGCCUCUCCCAAAGCUGCACACUCAGUCUAAGAGGACGGCCUUCCCUGAAUAGAGAUGGACCAGUCUUCAGUCAAGGGUAUACGAGUAGCUACACUCCUCUGCUAGUACCUCCAAACAAGCUCUCAAGAAAGGAGACAUUAACAAAAUCAUAGGAUGGGUGGGGUACAACUCCACACAAUUCCCGCCACCCAAU
rnacentral:snRNA from 1 species